CGAUCCCUCCGUUUUUUUAACAUACGCUUUUUUUUUUUUCUCUUUUUAAUAGGAUAAAACGUUUAAACACUUGAAACCAUGCUCGACUACAGUCUCUAACAAACAUGAAGCACA